rnacentral:misc_RNA from 1 species
CCACCUUCGAGCCCCUAGGGUUCGGUGUUGGGGCCCCUACGGCUGCCGUAGGCCCUGAAAUACAGUGGCGGACCCUCCGGCACUCCGGGCGCAGUAGUUAUAUCUCGCCUUCUGGAGGAGCCGGGUUGGGCACCUGCCUAGACGCGCCGCAGCAGCGGCGAACCCAAA